GCGCAAGUAGCUCAGUUGGUCAGAGCAGGAAGGUUCAUUGCCUUCAUGUGUCGUGGGUUCGAGUCCCACCUUGCGCCCCA
rnacentral:tRNA from 1 species